GCAAAGGGUGCGGAACACGUACGCAACUUCCUUUAAGCGGGGAAUAGCCCAGGGAAACUUGGAUUAAUACCCCAUAAGACAAUGGUGUGGCAUCACACAGUUGUUAAAGCUCCGGCACUUAAAGAUGGGCGUGCGGCUGAUUAGGUAGUUGGCGGGGUAACGGCCCACCAAGCCGACGAUCAGUAACUGGUGUGAGAGCACGACCAGUCACACGGGCACUGAGACACGGGCCCGACUCCUACGGGAGGCAGCAGUAAGGAAUAUUGGUCAAUGGACGCAAGUCUGAACCAGCCAUGCCGCGUGGAGGAUGAAGGCCCUCUGGGUUGUAAACUUCUUUUAUUGGGGAAGAAAUCUGUUUUUUCUAAAGCAGUUGACGGUACCCGAUGAAUAAGCACCGGCUAACUCCGUGCCAGCAGCCGCGGUAAUACGGAGGGUGCAAGCGUUAUCCGGAUUCACUGGGUUUAAAGGGUGCGUAGGUGGGCAGGUAAGUCAGUGGUGAAAUCUCUGGGCUUAACCCAGAAACUGCCGUUGAUACUAUCUGUCUUGAAUGUAGUGGAGGUGAGCGGGAAUAUGUCAUGUUAGCG
rnacentral:rRNA from 1 species